rnacentral:rRNA from 1 species
UACGAAGGGUGCAAACGUUGCUCGGAAUCAUUGGGCGUAAAGCGCACGUAGGCGGCUUCGCAAGUCGGAUGUGAAAUCCCUAGGCUCAACCAAGGACGUGCAUCCGAAACUGCAAAGCUUGAGUACAGAAGAGGAUCGCGGAAUUCCCGGUGUAGAGGUGAAAUUCGUAGAUAUCGGGAGGAACACCAGUGGCGAAGGCGGCGAUCUGGGCUGAUACUGACGCUGAGGUGCGAAAGCGUGGGGAGCAAACAGG